UGAGAGCUUAGCUUAAUUAAAGUGCUCGAUUUGCGUUCGAGUGAUGCAAGGUAGAGUCUUGUAGUUCUUA
rnacentral:tRNA from 1 species